CACACUGACACAACUGCACACACACACUGACACAAUUGCACACACUCACACUGACACAAUUACACACUCACACACACUGACACAUUUGCACACUCACGCACACCGCACCAUUUUCCACCACAGCUUUAUUGACCCCCAUCCGCGCAGCGCAGCCCCACAGCGCGCAGCUCUGCCCCAUAAGUGGCCCCAUACGGCCCCAUAGGGCUCAGUGUCCCCAUAGGGCUCAUCAAUGUCCCCAUAGGGUCCACUUUUGUCCCCAUAGGGUCCACCUUUGUCCCCAUAGGGUUCGUUGUCCCCAUAAGUCCCAUCAAUGUCCCUAUAGAACUCACUGCUGACCCCAUAGGUUGUCACGUUGUCCCCAUAGGGCUCAAUGUCCCUAUAGGGCUCAUCAAUGUCCCCAUAGGGUCCACUUUUGUCCCCAUAGGGCUCCCUGGUGACCCUAUAGGUCUCCCUGGUGACCCUAUAGGGCUCACUGUUGUCCCCAUAGGGCUCACUGCUGUCCCCAUAGGUCACCACGUCGCCCCA
rnacentral:lncRNA from 1 species